rnacentral:rRNA from 1 species
AGUGAACGCUGGCGGUAGGCCUAACACAUGCAAGUCGAACGGCAGCACAGUAAGAGCUUGCUCUUACGGGUGGCGAGUGGCGGACGGGUGAGGAAUACAUCGGAAUCUGCUUUUGCGUGGGGGAUAACGGAGGGAAACUUACGCUAAUACCGCAUACGACCUACGGGUGAAAGCAGAGGAUCUUCGGACCUUGCGCGAGUGAAUGAGCCGAUGUCGGAUUAGCUAGUUGGCGGGGUAAAGGCCCACCAAGGCGACGAUCCGUAGCUGGUCUGAGAGGAUGAUCAGCCACACUGGAACUGAGACACGGUCCAGACUCCUACGGGAGGCAGCAGUGGGGAAUAUUGGACAAUGGGCGCAAGCCUGAUCCAGCCAUACCGCGUGGGUGAAGAAGGCCUUCGGGUUGUAAAGCCCUUUUGUUGGGAAAGAAAAGCAGCAGGUUAAUACCCCGCUGUUCUGACGGUACCCAAAGAAUAAGCACCGGCUAACUUCGUG